CGGACUAUGACAGAGAAGCUCAUCGACCCCUCUCAUUGAUCUACCAAUAUGUUCAGCUGUUUCAUAAUUUGGUCCCGCACAUUGGCCUGACUGCAACAAAAAGGUGAAGGCACCUGCAUAAGGUUAGGCUGGUUUUGCGUAUGGCGAUAUGGGAGAUUCUGAAGCAGGGAAUCACCAGACGCACCCACGCCAGGACCUGGGGAGCUUCCUGCGGCUAUUCUCAAAAGGACCAACUCUGCAUUCUGGCAAUUUAACUGAGCCUCACCUUUUCAUCCUGCCACCAAACACUGCUGGGGAGGCAAAGCUCAAGGAGAGACCGCAAACUCCAAACAGGCCAUCUCUCCGGCCCCAACUCCACAUCACACACUUGACUGUGUCCUUUAAGGGCUGCACAAUACAUAUUCCUUGUCUUCAUCUAUAUUGUGGUUUCAGCUGCACACUU